rnacentral:rRNA from 1 species
CAGUAGCCGCGGUAAAACGGAGGGUGCAAGCGUUAAUCGGAAUUACUGGGCGUAAAGCGCACGCAGGCGGUCUGUCAAGUCGGAUGUGAAAUCCCCGGGCUCAACCUGGGAACUGCAUCCGAAACUGGCAGGCUAGAGUCUUGUAGAGGGGGGUAGAAUUCCAGGUGUAGCGGUGAAAUGCGUAGAGAUCUGGAGGAAUACCGGUGGCGAAGGCGGCCCCCUGGACAAAGACUGACGCUCAGGUGCGAAAGCGUGGGGAGCAAACAGGAUUAGAUACCCCAGUAGUCCCUGUCUCUUAUAC